rnacentral:rRNA from 1 species
AUACGGAGGAUCCGAGCGUUAUCCGGAUUUAUUGGGUUUAAAGGGUGCGCAGGCGGGAGAUUAAGUCGGCGGUGAAAUUUUGCAGCUCAACUGUGAAAGGGCCUUCGAAACUGGGUUCCUUGAGUGUAGAUGAAGUAGGCGGAAUUUGUGGUGUAGCGGUGAAAUGCAUAGAUAUCACGAGGAACUCCGAUUGCGCAGGCAGCUUACUAAACUACUACUGACGCUCAGGCACGAAGGCGUGGGGAUCAAACAGGAUUAGAUACCCUGGUAGUCCACGCAGUAAACGAUGAUUACUAGCUGUUUGCGAUACAAUGUAAGCGGCUGAGCGAAAGCGUUAAGUAAUCCACCUGGGGAGUACGUUCGCAAGAAUGAAACUCAAAUGAAUUGACGGGG